rnacentral:rRNA from 1 species
UGGGGGAUAUUGCACAAUGGGCGAAAGCCUGAUGCAGCGACGCCGCGUGGGGGAUGAAGGCUUUCGGGUUGUAAACCUCUUUCGCUAUCGAACAAGGCCCGCUUAGGGUGGGUUGAGGGUAGGUGGAGAAGAAGCGCCGGCUAACUACGUGCCAGCAGCCGCGGUAAUACGUAGGGCGCGAGCGUUGUCCGGAAUUAUUGGGCGUAAAGGGCUUGUAGGCGGCUUGUUGCGCCUGCUGUGAAAACGCGGGGCUUAACUUCGCGCGUGAAGUGGGUACGGGCAGGCUUGAGUGUGGUAGGGGUGACUGGAAUUCCAGGUGUAGCGGUGGAAUGCGCAGAUAUCUGGAGGAACACCGAUGGCGAAGGCAGGUCACUGGGCCAUUACUGACGCUGAGGAGCGAAAGCAUGGGUAGCGAACAGG